AUUGAUUUUAUGCUUGCAUAAAUGAUUUUUGGAUUCGGAGCGAGUGGCGAACUGGUGAGUAACACGUGGGUAACCUGCCCCGAAGCGGGGGAUAACAUUUGGAAACAAGUGCUAAUACCGCAUAAUUAGUUGGAACCGCAUGGUUCCAACUUGAAAGAUGGCUCUGCUAUCACUUUGGGAUGGACCCGCGCCGUAUUAGUUAGUUGGUGAGAUAAAAGCCCACCAAGACGAUGAUACGUAGCCGACCUGAGAGGGUAAUCGGCCACAUUGGGACUGAGACACGGCCCAGACCCCUACGGGAGGCAGCAGUAGGGAAUCUUCCACAAUGGACGAAAGUCUGAUGGAGCAACGCCGCGUGAGCGAUGAAGGUUUUCGGAUCGUAAAACUCUGUUGUUAAAGAAGAACAAGUGUUAGAGUAACUGUUAACACUUUGACGGUAUUUAACCAGAAAGCCACGGCUAACUACGUGCCAGCAGCCGCGGUAAUACGUAGGUGGCAAGCGUUGUCCGGAUUUAUUGGGCGUAAAGCGAGCGCAGGCGGUUUUGUAAGUCUGCUGUGAAAGCCCUCAGCUCAACUGAGGAAGUGCAGUGGAAACUACAAAACUUGAGUACAGAAGAGGAAGGUGGAACUCCAUGUGUAGCGGUGAAAUGCGUAGAUAUAUGGAAGAACACCAGUGGCGAAGGCGGCUUUCUGGUCUGUUACUGACGCUGAGGCUCGAAAGCAUGGGUAGCGAACAGGAUUAGAUACCCUGGUAGUCCAUGCCGUAAACGAUGAAUACUAGGUGUUGGAGGGUUUCCGCCCUUCAGUGCCGCAGCUAACGCAUUAAGUAUUCCGCCUGGGGAGUACGACCGCAAGGUUGAAACUCAAAGGAAUUGACGGGGGCCCGCACAAGUGGUGGAGCAUGUGGUUUAAUUCGAUGCUACGCGAAGAACCUUACCAGCUCUUGACAUCUUCUGCCAACCCAAGAGAUUGGGCGUUCCCUUCGGGGACAGAAUGACAGGUGGUGCAUGGUUGUCGUCAGCUCGUGUCGUGAGAUGUUGGGUUAAGUCCCGCAACGAGCGCAACCCUUAUUAUUAGUUGCCAGCAUUUAGUUGGGCACUCUAGUGAGACUGCCGGUGAUAAA
rnacentral:rRNA from 1 species